GUUGGUAGGUGUUUUCCGUUAUUUGUUUGGGUUGAUUGCCUUCUAAUCUGUUCCUGUUAUUUCUUUAGGUUUGUUAUUUUCCUUUGGGUAUCUGAUAUUGUUUGGAUGAUUUGGUCUUUCUUUGUUUUUGUGCAUUUUCUUAGACUCAGCUGAAUUUUGGAAACGGUACAAUCAUUACUUCAAGAUUGCUUAUUGAUGAUGAAAAUAUGUUUUGAUAUUUUGCUCAUGGAAGAACAAGAAGGAGAUAAGUCAUUGAGCAAAGGGGAAGAGAAUUGCUUCAUGUGUUGGUCCCUUGCUUCAUACAAAUAUGAGAUGUAUAAAUAUAGUAGUUACUUUUUAGAAACCAAGUAGCACAUCCAUAAAAUUUAUGUUAACAUCCUAAAAUUUGGCUAUUGAUGGUCUAUUACUGAGCUUCCAAGUUUGGAAGAUAAUUUACCCGCAGCUACAAUAGCUGUGAUGGCUACAGUGCUGGUCUAGGCCGGGUUGGGGCUCAAUUUUUGGGCUUUAGGUUAUAUGGUUGUCAGGUUUUGUUAACCUAUUUCAAUUACUAGCCCUUCUCUUUCUCACAAAUGCUGAACGUCGUCUUUCCAAUUUCUUCCAUAGUUUGCCCAUCUCAAAUUUACAUUUCCAUAAGUUCCAUUUUUCAUCCAAGAAGCCGCAGCAAAGCGCGGCCUUGCUGA